UCCCUGAUGGCCCAGACGGUAAAGCGUCUGCCUACAAUGCUGGAGACCCAGGUUCGAUCCCUGGGUUGGGAA
rfam:TPA: Bos taurus chromosome 25, whole genome shotgun sequence.